AGAGUUUGAUCAUGGCUCAGAUUGAACGCUGGCGGUAGGCUUAACACAUGCAAGUCGAGCGGAAACGAAGGUAGCUUGCUACCAGGCGUCGAGCGGCGGACGGGUGAGUAACGCGUGGGAAUUUGCCUAGUAGUGGGGGAUAGCCCAGAGAAAUUUGGAUUAAUACCGCAUACGCUCUACGGAGAAAAGCAGGGGAUCUUCGGACCUUGCGCUAUUAGAUGAGCCUGCGUUAGAUUAGCUAGUUGGUGAGGUAAUGGCUCACCAAGGCAACGAUCUAUAGCUGGUCUGAGAGGAUGAUCAGCCACACUGGGACUGAGACACGGCCCAGACUCCUACGGGAGGCAGCAGUGGGGAAUAUUGCACAAUGGGCGCAAGCCUGAUGCAGCCAUACCGCGUGUGUGAAGAAGGCUCUAGGGUCGUAAAGCACUUUAAGCAGGGAGGAAGGCCUAAUGGUUAAUAUCUAUUAGGAUUGACGUUACCUGCAGAAUAAGCACCGGCUAACUCCGUGCCAGCAGCCGCGGUAAUACGGAGGGUGCAAGCGUUAAUCGGAAUUACUGGGCGUAAAGCGCGCGUAGGUGGUUUAGUAAGUUGGGUGUGAAAUCCCCGGGCUUAACCUGGGAACUGCAUUCAAAACUGCUGGACUAGAGUACGAUAGAGGGGGGUAGAAUUUCAGGUGUAGCGGUGAAAUGCGUAGAGAUCUGAAGGAAUACCGGUGGCGAAGGCGGCCCCCUGGACUGAUACUGACACUGAGGUGCGAAAGCGUGGGGAGCAAACAGGAUUAGAUCCCCUGUAGUCCACGCCGUACACGAUGUCUACUUAGCCGUUGGGAGACUUGAUCUCUUAGUGGCGCAGCUAACGCAAUAAGUAGACCGCCUGGGGAGUACGGCCGCAAGGUUAAAACUCAAAUGAAUUGACGGGGGCCCGCACAAGCGGUGGAGCAUGUGGUUUAAUUCGAUACAACGCGAAGAACCUUACCUGGUCUUGACAUCCUACGAACUUUCCAGAGAUGGAUUGGUGCCUUCGGGAACGUAGUGACAGGUGCUGCAUGGCUGUCGUCAGCUCGUGUUGUGAAAUGUUGGGUUAAGUCCCGUAACGAGCGCAACCCUUAUCCUUAUUUGCCAGCGUAAUGGUGGGAACUCUAGGGAGACUGCCGGUGACAAAACGGAGGAAGGUGGGGUCGACGUCAAGUCAUCAUGGCCCUUACGACCAGGGCUACACACGUGCUACAAUGGAGCGUACAAAGGGUUGCGACCUCGCGAGAGUGAGCUAAUCCCAUAAAACGUUUCGUAGUCCGGAUCGCAGUCUGCAACUCGACUGCGUGAAGUCGGAAUCGCUAGUAAUCGUAGAUCAGAAUGCUACGGUGAAUACGUUCCCGGGCCUUGUACACACCGCCCGUCACACCAUGGGAGUGGGUUGCAAAAGAAGUGGGUAGUCUAACUUCGGAGGACGCUCACCACUUUGUGAUUCAUGACUGGGGUGAAGUCGUAACAAAGGUAACC
rnacentral:rRNA from 1 species